rnacentral:rRNA from 1 species
GAUGAACGCUGGCGGCGUGCCUAAUACAUGCAAGUCGAGCGAACGGACGAGAAGCUUGCUUCUCUGAUGUUAGCGGCGGACGGGUGAGUAACACGUGGAUAACCUACCUAUAAGACUGGGAUAACUUCGGGAAACCGGAGCUAAUACCGGAUAAUAUUUUGAACCGCAUGGUUCAAAAGUGAAAGACGGUCUUGCUGUCACUUAUAGAUGGAUCCGCGCUGCAUUAGCUAGUUGGUAAGGUAACGGCUUACCAAGGCAACGAUGCAUAGCCGACCUGAGAGGGUGAUCGGCCACACUGGAACUGAGACACGGUCCAGACUCCUACGGGAGGCAGCAGUAGGGAAUCUUCCGCAAUGGGCGAAAGCCUGACGGAGCAACGCCGCGUGAGUGACGAAGGUCUUCGGAUCGUAAAACUCUGUUAUUAGAGAAGAACAUAUGUGUAAGUAACUGUGCACAUCUUGACGGUACCUAAUCAGAAAGCCACGGCUAACUACGUG